rnacentral:misc_RNA from 1 species
GAUGAAGAACGUAGCGAAAUGCGAUAAGUAGUGUGAAUUGCAGAAUUCAGUGAAUCAUCGAAUCUUUGAACGCACAUUGCGCCCUCUGGUAUUCCUCAGGGCAUGCCUGUUCGAGCGUCAUCUAACCCCUCAAGCAGCGCUUGGUGUUGGGCGCUUGUCCCCCCCCCGCUCGGGCGGGGACUCGCCUCGAAAACAUUGGCGGCCCGUGUAUUGGCUUCGAGCGCAGCACAAUUGCCCUCGUCCCCUCUCCGCGCGGGCGCUCCAGCAAGCGACACACCCACGUUUUGACCUCGGAUCAGGUAGGGAUACCCGCUGAACUUAAGCAUAUCAAUAAGCGGGAGGA